AAAUGAAUAGACGGGGGCCCGCACAAGCGGUGGAGCAUGUGGUUCAAUUCGACGCAACGCGAAGAACCUUACCUGGGCUUGAACAGCCGUCGCCGGUGGCGGAGACGCCAUUUUCCGCAAGGACGGCGGCAGAGGUGCUGCAUGGCUGUCGUCAGCUCGUGUCGUGAGAUGUUGGGUUAAGUCCCGCAACGAGCGCAACCCUUGCCUCCAGUUGCCAGCGAGUAAUGUCGGGGACUCUGGAGGGACUGCCCGGGUCAACCGGGAGGAAGGUGGGGAUGAUGUCAAGUCCUCAUGGCCCUUAUGUCCAGGGCUACACACGUGCUACAAUGGGCGGUACAGACCGCAGCGACGCCGCGAGGCUGAGCGAAUCGGAGAAAGCCGCCCUCAGUUCGGAUUGCAGCCUGCAACUCGGCUGCAUGAAGCUGGAAUCGCUAGUAAUCGUGCAUCAGAACGGCACGGUGAAUACGUUCCCGGGCCUUGUACACACCGCCCGU
rnacentral:rRNA from 1 species